GAUUAUUGAUUGUUGGCUUACAAACUACAAAAAAGUGCAUAUAUCACUGUCGGCACUUUGAAGUUGACCCAACGAGGACAUACUGAACGUAAGCAUUCCCUCCUGUAAAGCUUCGAAAGCUUCAUGCUUAUGCUUCGGCGCUUAACGACUUAUCUUAUCGUAUUUAUAAAGCAUAUCAUAUCAAAAUCGAAUCACGGAUAGAUAAGAUCUUUAAACAAUAUUUAUUUAUUUAAUUUUAUGCACAAGAGUACAGUAGCAGAUUUCGUGAAAAAGGCAUUAUCUAUCAACCGUGGAUGAUGUAAAAAGUUCAAUGUUAGGUGUAUAUAUUUUUGAGAAAAAAAAAUUUAUAAUAAAAUAUUAUACACAUAAAAAAAACACACACACACAUACAUACAACGCCCUACAUUAUGCAAUACAAUUUACAGUUGGUAUGUGUGUGUCAGAAACGUCCAUGAAUAUUAGCUUAGGAGACAACCCAGUUCAUCGCUAGGUUGUCGUAAUUCUCCAGGUCUCGUUUGAGUAAAGAUAUAUCAUAGCGCUCCGGAAACACCGCUGAGGAAAGUUCUAGAGCAAGAAAGAGAAAAAAUUCAGAGCCGUGAAAAUAUUGUGGAUUGGUUCGACAUUUGGGACAUUGGGUCGGAUUCGAUCGACAUUGGUUCCAGAUAGUUACAAUGUACCUUGAUCCGUUGGUAAAUUGUACGGUGAAAAUGAACCCUCUCUCUCAUCUCAAGGCUCUCAUUAGAACUCAUUAGAUAAAGUUGCUCAAAUAUCUGGAUGGAUUUUAGCACACGCCUGCACUUUAUAUCACGUUUACCAGUGGAAAGUUGGCCUAUAUUUUUCCCUGGUUUAACAUAACCAUACAGAAUGAUACAUCGAAAUAACAAUAUCCAUAAAGAAUUUCGUUAAAAUCGGUUCUUAGACUUGGCGUAGGUACGUAUUACGCAACACAGACAUAAUCACUUUCAUAUUAAUAACAUUAAUAGAUAUAUCAUAACUUCUAGCAGUGUAAAAGUGAAUUUCAAAAAUGUUUUAUUAUAAAUGAUGGUAAUGGUUGUUUAUUGGUAAAAUUCGAUUUUAAUGAAAUUAAAUUAAAACCUCCUCUAUUUGUGGAAGCAUCCUGAAAAUCGAUUAACUAGUUCCAGAGAUGUGUGCGAACAAAGAAACGCAAAUAAUUAUAUACAUGAUUGUGUUAUUUUCUGUUACUUUUCUUAAGUUAUCGAUCAUCCAUUUACUAAGUAUUUUUAAUGUACAGACAUACCGAGUUCCAUUGUUUUAUUAUAUGUGUUGUCAUUUUUAGAGUAAUACCUUUCAAGUUAUUGUUUUAAUUAUUGUAGUCGAAUCCUAAGAAAAUCGAUUAUUCCAAAAGAUCGAUGUGACAGCUUGCUUCUAAUGUCAGUAGGUAUUGAAUUUUCUUCGAGAAUGAAAACACUUAUUGUGUUAUCGCACCAUAUGUAUUAAUCUGAAAUUUGUAUAAUAAAAAUAUUAA